rnacentral:lncRNA from 1 species
CCUUCACCUCUGUGCGUAUUGCCUAAAAAUUUCAUCGGGCUUCUUUUCGAUGUUUUGUAGAGUGAUUCUAUUAGGUACCAUGUCAGUUACAUGAUUGUACUACUUUAUGAAUGCCUGUGCUAAAUCUCUCCAUGAAUUAAUCUUGGUACGACUCAAUUGAUUGUACCACUUGGACGCUGCCCUUGUGAGGCUAUCCUGGAAACAAUGUAUCAGCAACUGGUCAUUAGUAACAUACCCAGUCAUCCUCCUACAAAACAUAGUAAUAUGGGCUUCGGGACUACUAGUUCCAUUAUACUUCUCAAACUCGG